rnacentral:rRNA from 1 species
UACGUAGGGCGCAAGCGUUGUCCGGAAUUAUUGGGCGUAAAGAGCUCGUAGGCGGCUUGUUGCGUCGACUGUGAAAACCUGCGGCUCAACCGUGUGGUCUGCAGUCGAUACGGGCAGACUAGAGUUCGGUAGGGGAGUCUGGAAUUCCUGGUGUAGCGGUGAAAUGCGCAGAUAUCAGGAGGAACACCGGUGGCGAAGGCGGGACUCUGGGCCGAUACUGACGCUGAGGAGCGAAAGCGUGGGGAGCAAACAGG